AGUUUUGGGAGCCAGGAGUUGAAAGUGCUGACAUCUAGAAUGAAGCACACAUGUUAUACGUUUUGUGUCCUUUGCUGGAGAAGUCUGUGAGAAAUGCACUUCCACAGUUUAAAAGGAUGCCUGGAAAACGACUAUACCCCAUGCCGGAAGGAACUGAUAACGACAGGCAAACUUCGGAGGAUGUUCAAGAACAAGCAACUAGUGCAGAUGAAUGUCUUGGUUAUCUGGAGGACAAGAAUCGGCCACAAUACCGCCAAUAAAAUUGGACUGGAAAGGGGAACAACUGGGUCUCAUUUGGGACAGAAUCCAACAAGUAUGCAAUGAUAACAGAUAAUUUUCAAUGUCAGAGUGUAUAGUGGAUAUGCUUACAGAAUGGAUGUAACAACAAAACUACGAGACAAGUCAAGUUGAGAUAGUGCAGAGCUUUGAAUGAGCAAGGACUCACAGAGAUUGCCAACAGGGUCUUUAGUUCUGAGUUAAUAUCAAGAGUUCACGAUGGAUAAACACUUCAUAGUUCUUAAAACGGUUUUUCUCAAACUGGUAUGACGAAUGUAGAUGUCUUACUAUGUUGAAAGUGUUGUUCAGAGAUAGCGUGCAACAUGGGACACUAGCAAAAAUGUCUAAGACGAUGGACUUGCUGAAUGAUUUGCUUGUACGUGAUUCAAAGGAUCUGACUUUACUGUGUGAUACCAUCAGAGUAAAUGGACAAUAUGGUCUUCAAACAAAGAUUCAAGAAACACUGUCAUCAUUCCUAAAUGUUAAAGAAAGGAAAAUUUCAACAAAAUAAAUCACACCUCACAGGCAAAAGCUGAUAGAAUUGGGGGAG